rnacentral:lncRNA from 1 species
AACACCUCACUGAGUGUGUUCCGGGUUGGUUCUACAAGUAGAGUUUAAAGGGACACCUCGUUAUUUCGCCUCUGUCCUAGAAAUAGACGUACAAAACCAGAAGACAAAAAUAAUCUCCACCCUGGAAGGGUUCUGCACUUGCAAGCAUAGCGCUGAAAUGUCCAUACCUCAAGUUCCGAAGGUCAGGUUGGGAGAAAACAGCGGGCGACAGUGUGCUGUUCCAGAUGACCCAGGCAGUCUUCCAGCUACGCCUUGGAGUCUCCUCACAGACACUGCCAUGCUUUGGAUGUGAAGUGACUCCUGUGUUGUGAAGGCUAGGCCCCCAGCUGAUGGUGCUCUUGAAAGAUGAAUGAGCCAGGAGGACUGCUGAAGGACGAUGGAGAUGAAGAUUCCUGAACAGAGGAGAGAUGCUGAUCAGGAGGACUGUUGAUUCACAGCAGAAUGAGCUUUUCGGUGGGGUCUGGCAGGAGGAAGCAGGUCAGUGGGAAUAUCUUUCUCUUUCUCAUCUGCACUGGUCCUCUGCUCUGUGAUGUGACCUGAGGUGUCUUGACCUGGGACUAAUGCCUCAAGCCAUGAGCCAAAACCAAAUCUUUUCUCUGGUAGUGGAUUUUCUGUGUUCUUUCACAGAAGCC